rnacentral:snRNA from 1 species
AUCGCUUCUCGGCCUUUUGGCUAAGAUCAAGUGUAAUGUUCUACUUAAUCCUUGAAUAAUUAAUUCCAAUUUAUAAAUAAUUAUUUGGUAAAAGGGAAUAAUU